rnacentral:rRNA from 1 species
AUUGAACGCUGGCGGCAGGCUUAACACAUGCGAGUCGAGCGGGGGAAGGUAGCUUGCUACCGGACCUAGCGGCGGACGGGUGAGUAAUGCUUAGGAAUCUGCCUAUUAGUGGGGGACAACAUCUCGAAAGGGGUGCUAAUACCGCAUACGUCCUACGGGAGAAAGCAGGGGAUCUUCGGACCUUGCGCUAAUAGAUGAGCCUAAGUCGGAUUAGCUAGUUGGUGGGGUAAAGGCCUACCAAGGCGACGAUCUGUAGCGGGUCUGAGAGGAUGAUCCGCCACACUGGGACUGAGACACGGCCCAGACUCCUACGGGAGGCAGCAGUGGGGAAUAUUGGACAAUGGGGGGAACCCUGAUCCAGCCAUGCCGCGUGUGUGAAGAAGGCCUUAUGGUUGUAAAGCACUUUAAGCGAGGAGGAGGCUACUUUAGUUAAUACCUAGAGAUAGUGGACGUUACUCGCAGAAUAAGCACCGGCUAACUCUGUGCCAGCAGCCGCGGUAA